AAUACUGAAGUACUUACAACAGAAAGAAAAUAUUUGUAAAGAAAAUAUGUACAAGAUGACAGCUGUUUCUUACUAGCUUGACUCCUCUUUUUCUGACAAAAGUUUCAAAUUACAGUUUUGCCUACAGAGAACUUCACUAUAUCCUAGGUUUCAUCUUUCGAAGGGAGAAUCUGAUCUGCAAACAUGGAUGGUAUUUUUGGCACAAUAGAGGGAGAGACAGUCAUGGAACUUCCCAGCAUAACACAGAGAUUAAGAGUUGUCUACUGAGGCAAGAGGGUUAUGCUGUGUAAAUUGUAUCCCUGGACUCUUCUCACUUGCCAGGGCCUUUGGGGUCAAGCUCAUCUACCCUGGAAUAAAUGAGGAGUGAUUCCUACAAGAUCAAAGACAAUGAAGAGGAAAUAUAGUCAGCCUUUUUUACACUAUCACUGAAAUUUCAAACUGUGUGACCCUUGUUUCCAAAGACAGAUCCAAGAAUUCUAGGGCUGUUUUCAUUUGGAAAAUUAGCAUACAAGAAAUCUGCUUGAGUUACCAUCACUGAACAUAUCCAUUCCUCGGAUCCAAAGAACAUUGAAGUGAAAAAAUAUCAAAUAGAAGCUCAGACUGUUUGUUUAUAUUCUUUUUUGUUUAUUAUUCUUGUCUGUUGUCUAUUUGUAAAAACAUGCAACAAUAAACAGAAGCUGGACACUUCUACAGUGGGGACUCAGUGGAGUCUUUUAGUUUGCACAGAAGUGUCUGCAGUAGCCUUCCAAAUCAGACACAGACAAGUUUUAACUACCUACUGUCUCUGCUUGAAGUGCAUGGAAAGAUUACAGGAUGCUUGGGAGAAAAUUAAAGCAGAAUAAAAUAGUUUACAGAGAUAAAACAAAAUCAGCUGGAACCAAAGAGACGCUUCAAGGUAAACAGAGGGAUUUCACUUCAUUAAGCAAGGUUUUCUGCCAAGAAUCUAAGACCACAGGAGGUACUUAUGUUUUCUGCUCAUGCCUCAGAUAUACUAAUGUUCAUCACCAACUACACCAACAUACAGAGCUGGACAAAACCUUGUCUGGGGCCUCUCAUUUCAAGGAAUAGCUUUUCCUUACACAUGAACACAAUGUAAUUUAAUUUCUUGAUAGCCUACUUUUUGUUACAAUCAUUUUGCACAUAAAAAAAAUGUAAAAGCAGAUGUAGAUGAAAAGGCCCAAUAGAUCAGACCAAAGAGCAGCUCUUUGUAAAAGCCUGGCUGCAGCCCUGCCUCCAGCAACGCAAUGGGGCAGCUGCACAGGAAUACUUACCAAUAUUUUCCCAUCCUUUAGAAGUUCGUAUCUCAAAGACUCCUAAGCCAGGGGUGGUGUUUCUCUUUAAUAGCCCUUCAUGGCAAGUUUA
rnacentral:lncRNA from 1 species